rnacentral:rRNA from 1 species
GACGAACGCUGGCGGCGUGCUUAACACAUGCAAGUCGAACGCUGAAGCGUGGUGCUUGCACUGGGGGGAUGAGUGGCGAACGGGUGAGUAAUACGUGAGUAACCUGCCUUUGACUCUGGGAUAAGCCUGGGAAACUGGGUCUAAUACUGGAUACGACAUGCCACUGCAUGGUGGUGUGUGGAAAGGGUUUUACUGGUUUUGGAUGGGCUCACGGCCUAUCAGCUUGUUGGUGGGGUAAUGGCCUACCAAGGCGACGACGGGUAGCCGGCCUGAGAGGGUGACCGGCCACCCUGGGCCUGAGACACGGCCCAGACUCCUACGGGAGGCAGCAGUGGGGAAUAUUGCACAAUGGGCGGAAGCCUGAUGCAGCGACGCCGCGUGAGGGAUGACGGCCUUCGGGUUGUAAACCUCUUUCAGCGCGGAAGAAGCGAGAGUGACGGUACGUGCAGAAGAAGCGCCGGCUAACUACGUG